rnacentral:other from 1 species
UUAACCCUCGCCGCGCUCGAUAAGGGCGGAAAUUUUUUGAGCCAAUACAUUUUUUGGGGGGCUACCCAGCCCGCCUGUUGCGCAGAUCCCGGAGUGAUCCGGGAAAGCCUGAUGGCGGACGCGGCGGCAUCCACUUGGCUAGACCAGGUUCAAAAAAUUACGUCCAACGGCGCGGAUGGGGGUUUAU